AAUCAACGCUGGCGGCGUGCCUCAGACAUGCAAGUCGAACGGUUAAGACUCCCUUCGGGGAGUGUAUAAAGUGGCGCACGGGUGAGUAACACGUGGGUAAUCUACCUCCGGGUGGGGGAUAACCCGCCGAAAGGUGGGCUAAUACCGCAUAAUGCAGCGGCACCGAAUGGUGACAGUUGUUAAAGGAGCAAUCCGCCUGGAGAGGAGCCCGCGGCCGAUUAGCUAGUUGGUAGGGUAAUGGCCUACCAAGGCGACGAUCGGUAGCCGGCCUGAGAGGGCGGUCGGCCACACUGGCACUGAAACACGGGCCAGACUCCUACGGGAGGCAGCAGUCGGGAAUCUUGGGCAAUGGGCGAAAGCCUGACCAUCAACGCCGCGUUGAGGGAUGAANUCCUUCGGGAUGUAAACCUCGUAAGCAUUGGAAGAAUAAAUGACGGUACCAUGCGUAAGCCCCGGCUAACUACGUGCCAGCAGCCGCGGUAAUACGUAGGGGGCUAGCGUUGUUCGGAUUUUCUGGGCGUAAAGCGCGUGUAGGCGGUACAUUAAGUCAGCUGUUAAAUUCCCGAGCUUAACUCGGGAAAGUCGGCUGAUACUGAUGUGCUAGAGUGCAGAAGAGGCAACUGGAAUUCUCGGUGUAGCGGUGAAAUGCGUAGAUAUCGAGAGGAACACCGGAGGCGAAGGCGAGUUGCUGGUCUGACACUGACGCUGAGACGCGAAAGCUAGGGGAGCAAACAGGAUUAGAUACCCUGGUAGUCCUAGCCCUAAACGAUGUAUGCUUGGUGUUCGGAGUUUUAUCCUCCGAGUGCCGCAGCUAACGCAUUAAGCAUACCGCCUGGGGAG
rnacentral:rRNA from 1 species